rnacentral:rRNA from 1 species
UACGUAGGGUGCGAGCGUUAAUCGGAAUUACUGGGCGUAAAGCGCACGCAGGCAGUCUGUCAAGUCGGAUGUGAAAUCCCCGGGCUCAACCUGGGAACUGCAUCCGAAACUGGCAGGCUAGAGUCUUGUAGAGGGGGGUAGAAUUCCAGGUGUAGCGGUGAAAUGCGUAGAGAUCUGGAGGAAUACCGGUGGCGAAGGCGGCCCCUUGGGAAGAUACUGACGCUCAUGUGCGAAAGCGUGGGGAGCAAACAGG